rnacentral:rRNA from 3 species
GAACUUUCCAGAGAUGGAUUGGUGCCUUCGGGAACUGUGAGACAGGUGCUGCAUGGCUGUCGUCAGCUCGUGUUGUGAAAUGUUGGGUUAAGUCCCGCAACGAGCGCAACCCUUAUCCUUUGUUGCCAGCGGUCCGGCCGGGAACUCAAAGGAGACUGCCAGUGAUAAACUGGAGGAAGGUGGGGAUGACGUCAAGUCAUCAUGGCCCUUACGACCAGGGCUACACACGUGCUACAAUGGCGCAUACAAAGAGAAGCGACCUCGCGAGAGCAAGCGGACCUCAUAAAGUGCGUCGUAGUCC